rnacentral:lncRNA from 1 species
UGCCUCUCCUCCAUGGCUGAAGUGUCGCUUUUACAGAUGCCGAAGGUACGAUGCAAAAAAGACUGGAGCCCAUCUUCUGGAUUGAGAGACUGGAGCCCAUCUUCUGGAUUGAGAGGUGCCAGACCAAGAGGGCUGGAGGCCCGGCUGGAGAGGGAAAGCAGGCAUUGCCCCUGAAGGUUCGCAGAGAAGCUAGGAUCUGACCUGGAAGAAAGGAGACAGCCACCUUCUCCAGAACCGCAUUAGCAGCAAUUUCCCGAGGGACAGAAUAAAAUGUGGGAGCCCACUGCCCACACUCCCAAAGACCCAGGAGGACAGAGCUUUGCUUUUUGCAGGGAGAGGCCGUUGUUUGUUUGGGUUUGGG